UACCCAAUUUAUUUAAGAAUGUUACGGGUUUCUUUCGCAUAAAGUGCAUGUAGUUACAAAAGGGCCCACAGUGCGUCGCCCCUAUCGCCCCAUUACCAGGUAGCGGGAAAUUUGAACACGUCCAAUCCUAUUAUAGACUCGGAAGACCCAGGUCACGCCAUAGGCCUACUGCUAUAUAAAAUCCAGCCAAUCAGUCGAUUCUGGUUGACAUGACUAACUAGACCCACGUUCCGAAUUUCCGACCCAGACGCCAGACAGACUGACUCGGCCCUCGGGCAUACAUUAUUACAUUAAGGAUAUCAGUCUGUCUUGUUUGAGCCUUCACGAUGGAAGGACGCGACUCCAGCGUUUACCGUGAAAUUUCCUCCGUGGAAGAUUUCAGGGCUCUGAAGAAGCCCCUGUUCUCCCAUUUAUUUGAAUUUACGAAGUUGAAAGACGAAUUUCAGAAAUUCUUGUACCAGGAGGGUUUGCUGGGCGAUUUUUCGGGGCCGUGUGAGAAGUGUCCCGGGGGACAAGUGAGAUUCGGCAGUGAGGGAAAGAGCUGCAGUACCGGCCAACCAAGGUUCGCUUGGCGAUGCAACAAUCGCAGUUGCCGAAGGAAGCUCUCCACGCGACACGCCUCUCUUUUCCAAGGCUCCAUGUUGUCGGAGAGAACCAUCAUGCUGCUGGUCUAUUGUUUCGCCAACAAAAUUCCUCAGCACAUCGUGAUGAACAGCCUGAUCGACCUCGCGACCCACACGAUGGUCGAUUGGUACCGUAUUUGCCGCGAUUUGUGCUGUGAAAUCUUGCUGGCCGACAACAAGAAGAUCGGCGGUCCCGGCCAUGUGGUAGAGAUUGACGCGAGCAAAUUCGGGAAAGGAAAGGACACCAAGGUCGGCGGAUUUUGGGUGUUGGGCGGCAUCGACCGGCAGACGAACGAGACUUUCUUCAAAGUCGUUUCGGACCACUCUCCGGAAACUCUGCUCUCGGUGGUGCUGGACAACGUCCUCCCAGAGACCACAGUCAUAUCGGUUUCCUGGGAGUCUUACAUCAAUGCUCGGGAUGAUUACUUCAGCAAGUAUGCAGUUGAUCACAGCAUCAACUUCGUUAGUCCGGGCGACCAUGACGCCCACACGGACACGAUCGAGUCACAGUGGAGCAUUCUCCGGAAGAGCGUGCUGCCCAAACACGGUACGAAGAAAGACCUGUACGGCGGUUAUUUUUCCACGUACUGUGUCCAGAAACGGUACCUGGACUGUGCUCCGUGUCCAUUUUGGGCUUUUCUGGAGUUGAUCAAGCGUGUUUUCCCGCUCGAAAGCCGCCCGACUGCCCCUGCCGCCGAAUUGCUCUCCCAGCCUAAAAGGGUACGAUCGGGAAGUACCACUUUUAGGAGCAUCGCCAAACAACAGAAGUUGGAUACCGACGAAUCUGACUCUGAAUAAGAAUGUUUUUAUUGUUGCUAUAAAAAGUACAUGCACCAACCCAUCCUUCUGGUAGUUGUAUAAGCCUUGUGGGUAUUAUUGACGUUGAAGCCGAGAAAUCCACGAAGUGUUCCUUGUCUUUAGAAUGUUUUUGUUACUGUAAAAAUACUACAACCCGUCCUUUUGGUAGUUUGUAAGCCUUGUUGUGGGUAUCAUUUACGUUGAAGCCGAGAAAUCCACUCAUGUUACUGAUAAGGCUUUCUCCGGUUGUUUUUAGGGACCCCUGUGAUUAGUGAGUACGAAGAGAAUCUCUAAUUUAGCCUGUAAUCCAAGACUGCUUAAAAUUUCUGGACGCAGUUUUUUUUUCGGUUUCAGUUAUUCUGCUUUGCGGUAUCAGCUGCAGCGUAUUCUAUAAGAGCAGUCUGUAUUUGGCCCAACAUAUUUUGCUGCUUUUGUAAAAACUGUACACGUUGAAAAAUGUGUACAUUGUAAAUUAUGUUGUUUUCAAAGGAAAUUGUGUAGUUUUCCUUACUGUAAAAUGUGUAUUUAAGGUAAAUUACAGAGCUGUGAUAUGUAUAUUUUUGUUUAAGUUUAGUAAGACUAAUUUCGGUUCAAUAAACUUUUUGUCAGU